GGGCCUGUAGCUCAGCUUGGUCAGAGCGCCGGACUCUUAAUCCGGGUGUCGGGGGUUCAAAUCCCCUCAGGCCCG
rnacentral:tRNA from 1 species